CAGCACCCUGCAGGGGGCAGCACAUGACAACAACACAGUCACAUCAUGUCAGCCUGCAUUCCCACUAGCGACUAUGUGCAGCUACGGUAAAAGUAAAAAUAACAACCCUGGCUGCUGUCUUGGUGCCUUGCUCAAUCUUUUGAGCCAAAAGAGAUUCAAACCCUCAAACCUGACCCCACUAUGGAGUAAAUGUGUUGGGAAAGAUACUUACAGGGGCUCCCUUAGCUCCAGCGGCUCCAUCAGCUCCAGGGUUUCCCUGAGAAGAGAAGGGAAAGGAGGAGGUUAAAUUAGCAAUCCAGAGGUCAGAAGCAUCCAGUGAGAAAGUUUUACUUUCAUGGACCAUUGUUUUGCUGUGUUUUUUCUCGUCAAAGACCUAAGAGCAUCAUAAAGGUUUCUACGUACAGAAGGUCCAGCUGGCCCAGCAGGUCCGGGGUUUCCAGGCUCACCACGGGCUCCAGAAGGGCCCUCAGAUCCACGAGCACCCUGAGGUCCAGCAUCACCCUAGUAGAGAUACAAAGAACAGGACUUAGUACGAUAAUGAAGCUAUCAUGUCAGACGACAUACACAGCAGAGGAUCACAAAAACAUAAAACACAAAGCUGUGGUCACGUUAGAAGAGCUGUCGUGUUUGAAAGAGCAUUUUUCUGAUUUAAUGUGCCCUUCUUUAAGUCUCCUGAAACCAACCUCAACCAGAAACUAACUGAAGCUAAAGCUGUGCAAAAUAUGCUUAAUUUGGAACAAAAAAAAAUCAUCUUGUUAUGCUAUUGUACUAUCAAAUUAAUUACCCAUAUUGGUAUAUUAGGUAUCAAAAUCAGGAUCAGGAAAUCCCAUUUAUACAUGUAUAUGCUCGAACACACAGGAAUUUUUGUUAGUGAAUAAGGCCAUCAGUAAAGUGUGCAGAACUGGGAUGACCUCAGAUGACCUUGUGUGACCCCUCCCCCCAUCCUACUUGGUUCCCUGCUGGGUCAAGUAAAGGUCAACUACCUAUACACAUCUUAAGUGAAACACUGAUUACCCUCACAGCCAAGACAGGAUCAGAAAUGGAAAAAGGGGACAUUUUUGAUGAAAAAUUAUGAUGGAGGAUUAUUAUUAUUGUUUUACCUUAGCUCCGGGGCCACCAGGGAAUCCAGGAGGUCCAGCGGGGCCAGUGGGACCCUGAGAGCAAAUAAAAACAUAUUUAGACAAACGUAGCACAUCUUUUCAGCAAUAGCUAACCCAGCUAAAAAAAAGCAAGUUGGUUUUGAUUUGAAGGAGUACAACUCCAGCUUUAAUGAGAUCUCGGAAAACACUAGUUCACAAGCUCUAUUUUAACAAUUUUAAAACAAACUAAUUUAAAAUCUAGCUUCACUUGUGAAAGUAGUUCAACAACGUGUCUGGAUGUUUUUGAGCUUUAGUGAGUGAAGGACUUACGGGAGGUCCAGCAGCACCAGCAGCACCAUCGUUACCACGAGCUCCCUGCAACACACACACACACACACACACAUGAUUGAUUGAUCUGUUUGCUGGUCCACAGGUUGACUGGUUAUGGAAGUUAUGGGUUAUAUAUGUGUGGACUCACAGCAGCUCCAUUAGCGCCAGUGCGGCCUCUCUCGCCAGGCAAACCGCGAGGUCCCUGAGAAAGACAAAGACAGGAUCAGUUAACUGUAUCGUUCAAGGGACCUACUGCUAGUCUGUGACAGCACCUAUACAGCAGAGAUGAUGCGCUUGUUUUACUCACCAUAGCACCAGGAGUUCCGUUCUCACCAGGGGCACCAGCCUCUCCCUAAAUGUACAGAAAUACACAAGCAGGUGAGGUGAUGAAAAUGAUUGAAGUUAGCCAACAUGGCUACCACUGGCCAACAGCUAGCUAAUAUGACUGUUACUGCUACUGCAACCACAGCUCAUACUAAUAAAAGCUCCAUUUCUCACAUUUUACACAUUAAAGGACAAACAACUUGUCAUCCUGAGCUUAAAGACUACAUAUUUAUAACACAAAUCCUGCAUUGCAAUAUCUGUAAAUGGAGUUUUAGCCAUGUUAAAGAAAAUAUACCAUUGGUUGCAUCCUCGGAAAUGCAGAAGCCAGUUUUUGAAUGUUGUUUUUGGACCCUUCAAUUUUUAAUCUGUCAUAUGUGAUUCCCUCCUGGUCUACCAAAGUGCAAUGCUACGAACAUUAAAAUCAUUAAUACUAUGUUUAGUACUGCUACUACAAGUUCUAGCACUGCUUCUACUAACCUCUGGGUGUCUAAAAUUGACAUUUUUCUAUUCUGAGACAUGAAAUCAUGAGACAACAAUAAGGGACAGUCACCUUGGGUCCAGCAGGGCCACUGUCUCCCUUAGCACCAUCCAGACCGCUGAAUCCCUAAAGAUAUACAAAGAGACAUACAAAGAUGAAGUUCCCACUCCGGAAAUGUUGAAGAUUUUUAGUGGAACCGAAGCGAUGAAAGUCUGGACUCACUCUGUGUCCCUUGAUGCCAGGCAGGCCAGGGGUUCCUGGGAAUCCACGAGCUCCCUGAGGGAGAAAACAAGAGGAUGUCGCAAUUUAUUAUCUUUGCUUUGUUUUUGUUUUUUUUUACAUGACAUUACUAAAAAAUAUAAGUGAACUUACCUGAGGGCCAGGGGGUCCGCGCUCACCAGCACGACCGGGUUUGCCAGACUCACCCUGUGAGCCAAAAAAAGAGAUCAAUUAAACCAUUUUUUAAUCAAAACUGAAACACAGAUAUUGAAUAUGAGCGGGUCCAGUCUACUUACAUCCUCUCCGUUCUUUCCAGGGGGGCCAGCGGCGCCACGGGGACCCAUGGGACCCUAAAGAGAAAGAUUCACAUAAGACUCAGUGAUGAAAAAAGCACUAAAUGUGAUGAAGAUGCAUUUAACUUCCCUAUGAGACUGACCAUGUGACCAACCAGGAACAGACAGGUGGUCAUGUGACAUCAGGAUACAGGAAGUGGGUAAGAACAGUCACUGGAUUUGGGAACUAUCAGCUCAUGUGGGAACUUACAUCAAUAUCGCCACAGAUAAAAAAAAAUGCUCACAAUAAAGUCUAUGCAUUAAUUCAGUGUUACCGCAAACUUCUAAUGGAAUCUAACUGAGCUGCAGGUGAACUGAUCCAAAGAGUCUUUUACAGCCUCAGAUCCAACUUGUGAAUGCAUAAAUGUCUCUGGUUGAAGCUCUAUUCAAUUCAAUUAUCCAGUAAACGUCCAUACUUCUAUUUAAGAUUCACAUUCUACAUGCAGCCUACUUAGACUUUUUGAAAAUACCAUCUAUUUUGUUGAGAUAAAGUUACAUUUUAUAUGAAACAUCCGUUUAUGUAUUUAUUUUUACACAAAAUCUCAGUUGUUUGGUUUGAAUUUGACAAAGAAAUCCACUUCCUGUCCUCCUCUAAACAGUUUUAGUCUGCAGGUUCUAACCCAAACUCAUCAUGUUUUGAGUCACUGAUCAUUCUAUUUGCUUUGCUGCUUCAUAACUGUUUCCAGAAACAAGAGAAACUGACAUCAUUCAGAAGUGGAAACGCAGCCUUCAGUGCUCUUUUAAAAAUUAUAGCAUAUGGAAACUUGUGCUACUAUUUUCUGAAACCUCAUUACAUGUCUUUAAAAACAUGAAUAUGACAUAUUACCCAAAGCUAACCCCAUAAACAGUAAGUAGUUACACUGGAUCACAGAGAAGCCCUCACUGCUCUUUGGUUUUUGACAAAAGCAUCUGAAUCCUGUUUCCACAUCAGCCUGAAUUUAACCACAUGUAGACACAUUCUACGGCUCCAACAUAAACACACAGAAAACCUCAAACGCACCACAGAAUCAAAAGUUCGCCCACAAGUGAAUCACGAGAAGCAGAGAGAGUGAACCUACCCUGUCUCCCUUGGGUCCACGCUGUCCCUUGGGUCCCUGUUGGUGAGAGAAGACAAAAAUAAUGUCUUAGUGUAAUGAUAAAACUAAAUCAUGAGUUCUGAUGUAUAAACAUAUGACUCAUAUGUAUCUGAUUUCAUAAAUAAAGUAACUCUUCAUUAGUACUAAUCUCACUACAUGUAAUAUUUUAAACCAAAGCAAUCACACACCUGAUUAUCAUCCAUCAGUCAUUCAUUUUGGUGGAUAUAUUGUUUAUGAAGGACUUAUACAAAAUAUUUAGAGCUAUUCAUGAAGAAAAAAAAUCAUAUUUACCUCAACCUGAGAGUCCUGGAAACCUGCAGAGACACACAUAUAUGAGAUGUUAAGUGAUGACAGAAAAUACACGUACAACUAUUAUAAAAACAUUUCUCCGAUCUUGAAAAUGAUGAAUUUGGGAAAAGAGACAGACUUCUUUUUUUAACAUGAGGACAAUUAGCAUGUGGUGCUGGAGGAGACAGAAUGUGGGUCAUGAAGGGGACAUGUAAUGAUUUAGGUCAUGCUGACAGGAGAGAUGUGAGGCUGGAUCAGUGCUGAUUCAAGUCUGUUUGAGUGCAAGGUGGCUUCAAAAAUAAAGAAGAAGACAGAAUGGAGACAUCAGGGGCAGAAUACCGUCGUCGGGACAGAUGGGGCAACACUCGUCGUGGGGGAUGACGGGGUUGGGGCAGUCGGUUGUGUCCUCGCAGAUGACCUCAUCGCACAUCACCGUGCCGCUGUCGCACACACAGAUCUGACAUGGCUCUGGUUUCCACACGUCCCGGUCAGCGAACACCUGGCCGUCCAGGGUGCAGCUAAGGCCCGUGCCUGAUGGGGGCGACAGAGGGAGAGAGACAGGGAAGAGGAUGGAAUGCAAUCUGUCUUUCAGGAAGAAAAAGCAGCAGAAAAAGAAGAAGAAAGAGAGGAAAGCGCCACCUCAUCAUUCCCUGGUUCGACCUCCAGCUCGGAUCGGAUCCUCGGAGUGACACAAACUCACACAUUCACACUCGUACAAAGCCUUUUGUUCCAGUGUGCCUCUGAUGAAAAAAACAUCGUCUCAGCAGCGCAGCUCAGAAUCUUAACUCGAGGUUACGGUAUCUUCACUUGUGUCAUUUUCUCUGACUCUGAGCAAACUCACUGUAAUCUGCAGACCGUCAGCUGUCGGUAGCUGUUCGUCAUUUAUAUGGCGCUAAUAUAUCACUUCAGUUUUAAGUAGCACCAAGUUUAGGCUCGUAAAAGACACAAGUUUAGGCAUUUGUAUAACCGAGUCGUGACAUUUCUUGCAAUGCUUUCAAACAUACUUGAUUCAUACACUGCAGUAAAUAUAUGCAGCAAGCAAUUGCUAAUGCAAACUUUAAAGAAAUAAUUUAACAUUUUUGGGAAAUAUGCAGUUUUAUUGUCUUGCUAAGAGAUAGAUUAGAAGUUCAAUGCUAUUCUCAUGUGUGAACUGUAAAUGGUUGAAUAUAUAAUUGCGGGACUUUUUGGAACAUAUUUGACAUUUUUGCUGUUUUCAGGUCUAAAAUCAACAUGACCGCCUAUAACCAAACACCACAUGGCAUUUUAGAGAAAGAUUCUUCUAAAUAUUAUUUAUACAACAGUAAAAUUAAAAUUGAAAGUUAUUUCUAAAGAUAUUGUAGUAAACCUGUUGACUACUUUAUAUUAAAUAAGUCAGAAAGCCUUGGAGUCUUGCCAGUCUUUUCUUCAGGAGGAAAUGACAUCAUGUGGAGCAGGUCAUGUGAUCUGGAAUUAACACACUUCCUGGAGAGGUGUUUUUGUAACGAGUAACUUAGUGGAAAGUGAUUUCUGGGACACAGAUACAAUUUGUUAUUUUCCAUAUAAAAUUUGACAAAAAAGAAAUAUCUGUCAUGAUUAUCUCAACUUAAUAAAAAGAACACAAUCCAAACUA